CCACUCACACCCGGUGCACCCUCCGUGGUUCUUAUGGUCAGGGGGGCCUGUCCUCCUGCUGUGGUUCUGCGUCUUUACACACACACUGUAAACAAAGUCUCAUGGAAUGCAUGCCGCGUUUAACGCAAUACAAUACAACUUUCAGCAACGGAUCUCUUGGCUCUCGCAUCGAUGAAGAACGCAGCGAAAUGCGAUAAGUAAUGUGAAUUGCAGAAUUCAGUGAAUCAUCGAAUCUUUGAACGCACCUUGCGCCCUUUGGACAUUCCGAAGGGCAUGCCUGUUUGAGUAUCAUGAACACCUCAACUCUUCAUGGUUUUCCAUGAUGAGCUUGGACUUUGGGGGGUUUUGCUGGCUUACAGUCAGCUCCUCUAAAAUAAAUCAGCUUGCCAGUGUUUGGUGGGUAUCGCAGGUGUGAUAACUAUCUACGCUUGUGGUUUUCCACCAGGUAACCUUCAGCAGUGGAGGUUCACUGGAGCUCACAGACAUGUCUCUCCUCAGUGAGGACAGCCCUUUGAAUGUUUUGAUCUCAAAUCAGGUAGGACUACCCGCUGAACUUAAGCAUA
rnacentral:rRNA from 1 species